AGCAGCCGCGGUAAUUCCAGCUUCAAUAGCGUAUAUUAAAGUUGUUGCAGUUAAAAAGCUCGUAGUUGAAUUUCGAGAUCAAAUUGUUGGUCGUGCCUUGGUACGCACUGGCAUUAUUGGUUUCUCCCUUCUGACGAAUCAUGAUGUCAUUAAUUUGGUGUCUUGGGGAAUCAGGACUGUUACUUUGAAAAAAAUUUAGAGUGUUUAAAGCAGGCUCACGCUUGAAUACAUUAGCAUGGAAUAAUGAAAUAGGACGUUUGAUUCUAUUUUGUUGGCUUCUAGGAUCGACGUAAUGAUUAAUAGGGAUAGUUGGGGGCAUUAGUAUUCAAUUGUCAGAGGUGAAAUUCUUGGAUUUAUUGAAGACUAACUACUGCGAAAGCAUUUGCCAAGGAUGUUUUCAUUAAUCAAGAACGAAAGUUAGGGGAUCGAAGACGAUCAGAUACUGUCGUAGUCUUAACCAUAAACUAUGCCGACUAGGGAUCGGAUGAUGUUAAUUUUUUAAUGACUCAUUCGGCGCCUU
rnacentral:misc_RNA from 1 species